ACGAACGCUGGCGGCACGCUUAACACAUGCAAGUCGAACGAGAGAAGAGAAGCUUGCUUUUCUGAUCUAGUGGCGGACGGGUGAGUAACACGUGAGCAAUCUGCCUUUCAGAGGGGGAUACCGAUUGGAAACGAUCGUUAAUACCGCAUAAUAUAAUUGAACCGCAUGAUUUGAUUAUCAAAGAUUUAUCGCUGAAAGAUGAGCUCGCGUCUGAUUAGCUAGUUGGUAAGGUAACGGCUUACCAAGGCGACGAUCAGUAGCCGGACUGAGAGGUUGAUCGGCCACAUUGGGACUGAGACACGGCCCAGACUCCUACGGGAGGCAGCAGUGGGGAAUAUUGCACAAUGGAGGAAACUCUGAUGCAGCGAUGCCGCGUGAGGGAAGAAGGUUUUAGGAUUGUAAACCUCUGUCUUCAGGGACGAAAAAAGACGGUACCUGAGGAGGAAGCUCCGGCUAACUACGUGCCAGCAGCCGCGGUAAUACGUAGGGAGCGAGCGUUGUCCGGAAUUACUGGGUGUAAAGGGAGCGUAGGCGGGAUCGCAAGUCAGAUGUGAAAACUAUGGGCUUAACCCAUAAACUGCAUUUGAAACUGUGGUUCUUGAGUGAAGUAGAGGUAAGCGGAAUUCCUAGUGUAGCGGUGAAAUGCGUAGAUAUUAGGAGGAACAUCAGUGGCGAAGGCGGCUUACUGGGCUUUAACUGACGCUGAGGCUCGAAAGCGUGGGGAGCAAACAGGAUUAGAUACCCUGGUAGUCCACGCCGUAAACGAUGAUUACUAGGUGUGGGGGGACUGACCCCUUCCGUGCCGCAGCAAACGCAAUAAGUAAUCCACCUGGGGAGUACGACCGCAAGGUUGAAACCCAAAGGAAUUGACGGGGGCCCGCACAAGCAGUGGAGUAUGUGGAUUAAUUCGAAGCAACGCGAAGAACCUUACCAGGUCUUGACAUCGUAUGCAUAGCUCAGAGAUGAGUGAAAUCUCUUCGGAGACAUAUAGACAGGUGGUGCAUGGUUGUCGUCAGCUCGUGUCGUGAGAUGUUGGGUUAAGUCCCGCAACGAGCGCAACCCUUACUGUUAGUUGCUACGCAAGAGCACUCUAGCAGGACUGCCGUUGACAAAACGGAGGAAGGUGGGGAUGACGUCAAAUCAUCAUGCCCCUUAUGACCUGGGCCUCACACGUACUACAAUGGCUGUUAACAGAGGGGUGCAAAGCCGCGAGGUGGAGCGAACCCCUAAAAGCAGUCUUAGUUCGGAUUGUAGGCUGCAACCCGCCUACAUGAAGUCGGAAUUGCUAGUAAUCGCAGAUCAGCAUGCUGCGGUGAAUACGUUCCCGGGCCUUGUACACACCGCCCGUCACGCCAUGGGAGUCGGUAACACCCGAAGCCUGUAGUCUAACCGCAAGGAGGACGCAGUCGAAGGUGGGAUUGAUGACUGGGGUG
rnacentral:rRNA from 1 species